rnacentral:sRNA from 2 species
CGACCGGCAACGCCAAAUCCUGCCCCCGGUCGUCGGAAACAGAACCCGGGCAGGAGCGGGGGACCCAACGUUCCUCGGUGCAUGUCACCUCGGGGUGAAGCCGCCACCGCGCGGCCGGGCUCCUCGGCCCGAACCCGACAGCUCACCUCGCCGGCGUGGAGGAACCACACA